rnacentral:rRNA from 1 species
GAUGAACGCUGGCGGCGUGCCUAAUACAUGCAAGUCGAGCGCCCCUUUAAGAGGUGAUAAUCAUAAGAUUGUCAGUUCCUAUGGGGAGCGGCGGACGGCUGAGUAACGCGUGGGAACCUGCCCCAAAGUGAGGGAUAAGCACCGGAAACGGUGUCUAAUACCGCAUAUGAUCUUCGGAUUAAAGCUUUAUGCGCUUUGGGAGGGGCCUGCGUCCUAUUAGAUAGUUGGUGAGGUAAAGGCUCACCAAGUCAACGAUGGGUAGCUGGUCUGAGAGGAUGACCAGCCAGACUGGAACUGAGACACGGUCCAGACUCCUACGGGUGGCAG